rnacentral:rRNA from 1 species
UUAGUGGAAGCGUCUGGAAAGGCGCGCGAUACAGGGUGACAGCCCCGUACACAAAAGCGCAUGUGCUGUGAGCUCGAUGAGUAGGGCGGGACACGUGGUAUCCUGUCUGAAUAUGGGGGGACCAUCCUCCAAGGCUAAAUACUCCUGACUGACCGAUAGUGAACCAGUACCGUGAGGGAAAGGCGAAAAGAACCCCGGCGAGGGGAGUGAAAAAGAACCUGAAACCGUGUACGUACAAGCAGUGGGAGCCCCACCACCAAAGCAUUCUCUGGUGUUGAAGGCCCUGCAAAGCAGCAUCGCGGUGGCGGAGCGUCGUUUGCGACGCCCAACACACAAAACAAGCGGUGAGUGCUUUGGGGUGGGGUGACUGCGUACCUUUUGUAUAAUGGGUCAGCGACUUAUAUUCUGUAGCAAGGUUAACCGAAUAGGGGAGCCGGAGGGAAACCGAGUCUUAAUUGGGCGUUAAGUUGCAGGGUAUAGACCCGAAACCCGGUGAUCUAGCCAUGGGCAGGUUGAAGGUUGGGUAACACUAACUGGAGGACCGAACCGACUAAUGUUGAAAAAUUAGCGGAUGACCUGUGGCUGGGGGUGAAAGGCCAAUCAAACCGGGAGAUAGCUGGUUCUCCCCGAAAGCUAUUUAGGUAGCGCCUCGUGAAUUCAUCUCCGGGGGUAGAGCACUGUUUCGGCUAGGGGGCCAUCCCGGCUUACCAACCCGAUGCAAACUGCGAAUACCGGAGAAUGUUAUCACGGGAGACACACGGCGGGUGCUAACGUCCGUCGUGAAGAGGGAAACAACCCAGACCGCCAGCUAAGGUCCCAAAGUCAUGGUUAAGUGGGAAACGAUGUGGGAAGGCCCAGACAGCCAGGAUGUUGGCUUAGAAGCAGCCAUCAUUUAAAGAAAGCGUAAUAGCUCACUGGUCGAGUCGGCCUGCGCGGAAGAUGUAACGGGGCUAAACCAUGCACCGAAGCUGCGGCAGCGAACGUAUCACUUAAAGCGAUUCAGCGGGUUACGAUUGACGGAGCGAAGCGACGUCAAAGCGUAUACAAAGUCGAGUCGGUUUAAGGAUACGUUCGUUGGGUAGGGGAGCGUUCUGUAAGCCUGUGAAGGUGUGUCGUGAGGCAUGCUGGAGGUAUCAGAAGUGCGAAUGCUGACAUAAGUAACGAUAAAGCGGGUGAAAAGCCCGCUCGCCGGAAGACCAAGGGUUCCUGUCCAACGUUAAUCGGGGCAGGGUGAGUCGACCCCUAAGGCGAGGCCGAAAGGCGUAGUCGAUGGGAAACGGGUUAAUAUUCCCGUACUUGGUGUUACUGCGAAGGGGGGACGGAGAAGGCUAUGUUGGCCGGGCGACGGUUGUCCCGGUUUAAGCGUGUAGG